CGCGGCCUAUCAGCUUGUUGGUGGGGUAACGGCCUACCAAGGCUUCGACGGGUAGCUGGUCUGAGAGGGCGACCGGCCACACUGGGACUGAGAUAGGCCCAGACUCCUCGGGAGGCGCAGUGGGGAUCUUGCACAAUGGGCGAAAGCCUGAUGCAGCGACGCCGCGUGGGGGAUGACGGCCUUCGGGUUGUAAACUCCUUUCGCUAGGGACGAAGCUUUUUGUGAUGCACCUAAAGCUCCGGCCCCGGCUAACUACGUGCCGCGGUAAUACGGAAUACAGCGAGGUGCGAGCGUUGUCCCUGAUUAUUGGGGGUAAAGAGCUUGUAGGUGGCUUGUCGCGUCUGACACGAAAACUCAACUCUCAGCCUCGGGUGUGAUACGGGCACGGUCAAGCUAGGGUGAGGCAAGGGAGACCGGAACUCCUGGUGUAGAAUGGAAAUGCGCAGAUAUCAACACCUGUGCCGAUGGCGGCUCUCUGUCUCUGUGCCAUUACUGACGAUGAAAAGCUAAGGCAUGGGUAGCGAACAGGAUUACUGACCCUGCUAGUCCACACUGUUGAC
rnacentral:rRNA from 1 species